rnacentral:lncRNA from 1 species
CUGGCUGCCUACAUCUCCGCCAACUACAUGGGCAUGGGCAAGUCCGCAAUGGAUGUCCUUCCUGAGCUGCGCCGCAAGGGCAUCUCCGCCAGCGGCAACAGCUUUGUGAUGAAUGGGCAAAUGAUGAGCGCACCAGAGAUCGCCAGUGCUCUGCGCCUGCAGGUAAGAGCAAACUCCGAGAUUACUUUGCAGAAGGGCUCUUUAUGCCAGGAUUUUUCGAGGCAGCCCAUCUUUUUGACCUGAGGCGUCCGUGAACAACCAACUAAAUUGUUUCAGGUCCUCACGCUUUAUGGUUUAAAGCCAACAAACUCCCUUCUCGAUCCCAUGAGGCUGGCCAUCCUUUUGGCCAAGAUCGCAUCCUGCUUUGUGUGAGAAGGUAGCAGGCUGAGGCCAAACCCCCUUUUUUUCCACUUGAUGGAAGGUGCUUGAGAAAGACAAGAAUUGCAUCGCCAAAGGAAAGGAGGAGCAAUUGUACUUCAAAAGAAUUUCAGGAUCAGGAACAUUGAGAGCAAGGAGGCACUAAGCUUGUUCAUUCUUUCAGCCGUCUCUUCCGGUAUGUGUGCUAAAAGCAAGCGUGGUGAUUGAGAAGGCAGUUCAGACAGGCAAGCUCCAUGACACCAUACGACAGUAAUCGCACGCAUUUCAAGGUGCUUGCACUUCUUUUCACGUGUGUCGCAGGUAGCACAAGCAUCAGGAAAUGCUUGCGAUCCCUGUUGUAUGGUGUCAUGGAGCUUGUCUGUGCAGGAGGGCAAGGAGGCACUACAUGCAGAGGGGAGAGGCAGACAAAUUCUUGCACUCCCUCUUACACGGUGUCAUGGAGCUUUUCUGUAGAAGAGAGGAAGCUCUGUAUACCGGGGGAAGGGGAGAGAACCUCUUGGAGACUGUAGAAACCAUUUUCCUGUGUUCAAGCUCAGCAUGACUGGUAUAAUGCCAAGUACUGCGUAUACCAAUUAAGGAAAGAUGGUCCUCCCGCUGCCCCCCCCGCCUAGGCAUAAAGGAGAAUCAUUAACCGACUUCCAACCAGACCUCCGAUUGACCCCCUUUUUCUUGGCUCCACGCAUCAUUGCAAUCUGCAACUCUGUGCCAAACUGGAGGUGGCAGCUUGCAGCACAGGGCAAGCUGAUGGAGGUCCAGCAUCCUGCGCCCAUAUCCGGUUCAAUAGGUCUCCCCACCGGCAUGCUCCCCCUGUGCCACCUCUGCAAGAUCUGACAUCUUAGCAUGGUUAGACGACCUAAGAGCAGCUGUAGGCCAGGGGCGCUGGUCAUUUGGUGCAAGUUCAAAAGUCCACUCUUUUCCAUUGUACUCGAAAUGGGUGCAAAACAGCCUCUCGAGCCACACAGUGCACCUCCACAUCCCGACUUCUCAGCUAUUCUCAAUGCUUGGGACAUGAAAACACGUUUGGCCAUGUUUGGUAAACUUAGAGCACACAGACUUGCAUGCAAAAAGUGCAGAUGCCAUAAUGGCACUGUGAGGGGGAAUCCAGCUGCGGGGGGAAGCAGAUGCCAAAGGCUGAGGGGCUGCCUCUCCACCAGAAUUUAAAAUUUUGCACUGAACUCGAGACAUAUCAAAUACAACCUCGUCUACGAAUCCAAGUGAAAAUUCUGUGAUACACCACUCAGCUUGAGUUGCAUCAACUUCUAUGCAGGCCCGCACACCCAGCCGCCCAUCCACCCCCACCCGCUCUCGUCCUGCUGAGCCAGCUCCCGCCAGCUACUCCGCUCCUGCUGCUGCGCCAGCUGCUCCUGCUGCCCCUGCCCCCAGCGCCUCUGGUCUGGAGGUGUGUGUUUCUGUUGAAGCCAGCUGUUUUGAAUUGAGAUACCUUCUCCUCUCGGCAGAGAGACGAUGGGGCUGCACAGAUGCCACGUGUGUAAUUGGCAUUUUUACUCAGGCAAGCACGUUCUUUGGUUCUCGCAUGAAAGGACCUCGAGUGCUCACACUCUCUGCCACGCAUUCAAGCAUGGGUUUGCAAGGUAGAGACUUGCUGCACGCAUCACCUGCAUACUCCUUGAAUGUUGAAGCAUGCAUUACCUGCGUACUCUUAAAAUGUUGCCGAAACAUGCAGGGCCUUGCUGCCUACAUCUCCACCAACUACAUGGGCAUGGGCAAGAGCGCAAUGGAUGCGCUGCCAGAGCUGCGCCGCAAGGGCAUCACCGCCAGCGGCAACAGCUUCGUCAUGAACGGCCAGCUGAUGGAUGCUAAUGGCAUUGCCCAGGCGCUGCGCCUGCAGGUAGGGAGAUAUGUGGCAAGUGGCUGAGAUAUGGUCCUCCUGCAUCUUUUUGGCCAUGGAUUGAUCAUCCCAGCAUCAUCAGCUGUGAUAUGAGUAGGGUUGGCCAGUUCCGUAGGUGUAUAAUAUACGAAGAAAAUACGGGUACGUAAAUACGGCGUAUAAUUCAGACCCUGCCCCCGUAUCCGUAUUCCGAAUGAGUCUGUAUAUACGGAAAAAUACGUAUUUUCUACGUAUUAUACGGGGGAAAUCCGUAGCUUCGACUGGCCUUCUACGCAUCGACAUGCCUUCGAAACAGGAAAACUUUGAUAUUUAAGCAACUGAACAUAGACAUUUAAAAUGGAUAACAUGGAACAUAGUGAAGGAGAGACAGAGGCUGCAGCAGAGGGCUCUUUGUCAGGGGCUCAUGGGGAGGGCUCUCAGGGUCAGGGCAGCAGGAGCUCAGCAGGAGGAGCAGGCUCAGCACCAACAGGGGCAGCAGCAGGCAGCACUGACAAGGGAGAGAAGCAAGGCAGAGAAAAAGAGAAGCCUGAGGACACGCUCAAGCGCCUCAGCAACCUCAAGAAGAAAAGUCAGGGAGAUUUCUGGCAGUGGCUGGAGCCUGUGCUGAUUACUGAGGUUGUGAAUAAGGAGGAGGUGCAAGUGUGCAAGCUCAAGUGUGUGAGAGGGGACGGGGUGUGCGGGAAGCUCCUAGGGACGGCCAACCCCUCCAGGACAGCCAAGGAGCACUUCACAGCCAGGGGUUGCAGGGGUUUCAAGCAAGAUCAAGGGCAGGCAAACCUGCAGCAGCAGCAGCAGCAUUGUGCAGCAACCCCUCUGGGAGGUAAGCGCCCACCCCCAGCCCCAGGCAGCAACAGCAGCACCAGCAAGCAGCCCCGCAUUACCCAGUGGGCGGUCAGUGCUCGGCAGCUGCAAGAUGCAAGGCAGCACCUCUCCCGCUUCUUCUUCAAGUCUGGCACUGCACUGCGCUUGGUGGAGCAUGAGGACCUGCUUCUUGCCUUUGGAGCCCUAGGCAUUCAGAAUGUUGCUUGCUAUUGGAGGCUGUGGCAUGUGCGCGCACUUUUGGCGCCUCCAGCCCUCCAACUGCAAAUUUUUUCAGAACCAUAUUUCAUGAGCAAAAUCUACUCUUAAAAAGCUGCAGAUUGACCCCCCUAUGGUUCCAUUUGGGGCACUUACAAAAUUCUGGAUUCUACGGAAUACGGGCAUUAUACGUAUCAUACGGUAUAAAUACGUUAUUUAUACGUAUCUGGGAUUCUGACAUAUGGAACUGGCCAACCCUAGAUAUGAGGUGGCAAAGCGGUUGAAACAAAACCUGGUCAUUUCAUUUCUAUUUUUUGACAGUUGUUUUAGGAAAAGGACCAUAGGUCCUUGUGCUGAGAGCAGUGUGAAGACCUGAUUGUUUCUUGUGCUAAUCAUGAAAGCUGGAGUGGUUGUAGACAGUGAGGUAACGGUCCAGUGACUCAUCCUGGCUUCACCAACAGUCUACCGCUGCUGUGAAAUUGUGUGCACAUGUGCAGUGCCAAAAUGUCAUCCAAGAAGGGGAAACAGGAUGCCAGCAACGCCUCAUGCCGAGUUUGUGCAAGAACAUCUUUUCUUCAUUUCCCUGGAUCUGACGCUCUUGUUUCUGAACGGCUUCCGUGCUCGCAGGCUCGCACACCCAGCCGCCCCAACACUCGCCCCUCCUCCCCCGU